UACGAAGGGGGGCUAGCGUUGCUCGGAAUCACUGGGCGUAAAGGGUGCGUAGGCGGGUCUUUUAAGUCAGGGGUGAAAUCCUGGAGCUCAACUCCAGAACUGCCUUUGAUACUGAAGAUCUUGAGUUCGGGAGAGGUGAGUGGAACUGCGAGUGUAGAGGUGAAAUUCGUAGAUAUUGGGAAGAACACCGGUGGCGAAGGCGGCUCACUGGCUCAUUACUGACGCUCAGGCGCGAUAGCGUGGGGAUCAAACAGG
rnacentral:rRNA from 1 species